AUUGAACGCUGGCGGCAGGCUUAACACAUGCAAGUCGAACGAGUGGCGGACGGGUGAGUAAUGCUUGGGACUCUAGCUUAUGGAGGGGGAUAACUACGGGAAACUGUAGCUAAUACCGCGUCCCAUAGACUGAGCCCAAGUUGCAUGAGGUAGUUGGUGAGGUAAAGGCUCACCAAGCCGACGAUCUCUAGCUGGUCUGAGAGGAUGACCAGCCAAACUGGAACUGAGACACGGACCAGACUCCUACGGGAGGCAGCAGUGGGGAAUAGUGCGCAAUGGGGGCAAGCCUGAUGCAGCCACGCCGCGUGAAUGAAGAAGGCCUUAGGGUUGUAAAGUACUGUCAGCGGGGAGGCGUUACCCGCAGAAGAAGCACCGGCUAACUCCGUGCCAGCAGCCGCGGUAAUAC
rnacentral:rRNA from 1 species